rnacentral:rRNA from 1 species
UGGGGAAUAUUGCACAAUGGGCGCAAGCCUGAUGCAGCCAUGCCGCGUGUAUGAAGAAGGCCUUCGGGUUGUAAAGUACUUUCAGUAGGGAGGAAGGUGGUUAAGUUAAUACCUUAAUCAUUUGACGUUACCUACAGAAGAAGCACCGGCUAACUCCGUGCCAGCAGCCGCGGUAAUACGGAGGGUGCAAGCGUUAAUCGGAAUUACUGGGCGUAAAGCGCAUGCAGGUGGUUUGUUAAGUCAGAUGUGAAAGCCCUGGGCUCAACCUAGGAAUCGCAUUUGAAACUGACAAGCUAGAGUACUGUAGAGGGGGGUAGAAUUUCAGGUGUAGCGGUGAAAUGCAUAGAGAUCUGAAGGAAUACCGGUGGCGAAGGCGGCCCCCCUGGACAGAUACUGACACUCAGAUGCGAAAGCGUGGGGAGCAAAACAGGAUUAGAUACCCUGGUAGUCCACGCCGGUAAAAGCAGAUGUCUACCUUUGGAGGUUGUGACCUAGAGUCGUGGCUUUCGAGCUAACGCGUUAAGUAGACCGCUGGGGAGUACGUCGCAAGAUUAAAGCUUAAAG